rnacentral:rRNA from 1 species
GUAGCCUAAAGUCAGAUUAAGCUAGUUGUGGGGUAAAGGACCCGACCAAGGCGACGAUCGUGUAACUAGGUCUGAGAGGAUGGAUCAGUCACACCGGAACUGAGACACGGUCCGGACUCCUACGGGAGGCAGCAGUGGGGAAUAUUGGACAAUGGGGGCAACCCGUGAUCCCAGCCAAUGCCGCGUGUGUGAAGAAGGCCUUUUGGUUGUAAAGCACUUUAAGCAGGGAGGAGAGGCUAAUGGUUAAUACCCAUUAGAUUAGACGUUACCUGCAGAAUAAGCACCGGCUAACUCUGUGCCAGCAGCCGCGGUAAUACAGAGGGUGCGAGCGUUAAUCGGAAUUACUGGGCGUAAAGCGAGUGUAGGUGGCUCAUUAAGUCACAUGUGAAAUCCCCCGGGCUUAACCUGGGAACUGCAUGUGAUACUGGUGGUGCUAGAAUAUGUGAGAGGAAGUAGAAUUCCAGGUGUAGCGGUGAAAUGCGUAGAGAUCUGGAGGAAUACCGAUGGCGAAGGCAG